UACCAGCACCCCGAGUGGUCGGGACGUUUAUUGGGCCUAAAGCAUCCGUAGCCGGUUCUGCAAGUCUUCCGUUAAAUCCACCUGCUUAACAGAUGGGCCGCGGAAGAUACUAUAGAGCUAGGAGGCGGGAGAGGCAAGCGGUACUCGAUGGGUAGGGAUAAAAUCCGUUGAUCCAUUGAAGACCACCAGUGGCGAAGGCGGCUUGCCAGAACGCGCUCGACGGUGAGGGAUGAAAGCUGGGGGAGCAAACCGG
rnacentral:rRNA from 1 species